rnacentral:rRNA from 1 species
AGAGUUUGAUCAUGGCUCAGGACGAACGCUGGCGGCGUGCCUAACACAUGCAAGUCGAGCGAUCGGCGGUGGAGGGGUAACCCUCCGUCGUACGGAGCGGCGAACGGGUGAGUAACACGUGGGCAACCUGCCCCAGGCUCUGGAAUAACCCCCGGAAACGGGGGCUAAUGCCAGAUACUCUCGGGACCUCGCAUGAGGACCCGAGGAAAGCCCCGACGGCCUGGGAUGGGCCCGCGGCCUAUCAGCUCGUUGGUGGGGUAACGGCCUACCAAGGCGACGACGGGUAGCUGGCGUGAGAGCGUGGCCAGCCACACUGGGACUGAGACACGGCCCAGACUCCUACGGGAGGCAGCAGUGGGGGAUCUUGCACAAUGGGCGCAAGCCUGAUGCAGCGACGCCGCGUGAGGGAUGAAGGCCCUCGGGUUGUAAACCUCUUUCGGCAGGGAAGAAGCCGCAAGGUGACGGUACCUGCAGAAGAAGCCCCGGCCACUACGUGCCAGCAGCCGCGGUA